rnacentral:rRNA from 1 species
GCCUUCUGUCUGAAUCAUGUUAAUAACAAUCGUUAAAACUUUCAACAACGGAUCUCUUGGUUCUCGCAUCGAUNAAGAACGCAGCGAAAUGCGAUAAGUAGUGUGAAUUGCAGAAUUCAGUGAAUCAUCGAAUCUUUGAACGCACAUUGCGCCUCCUGGUAUUCCGGGAGGCAUGCC